GAUGAACGCUGGCGGCGUGCCUAAUACAUGCAAGUCGAGCGAACGGACGAGAAGCUUGCUUCUCUGAUGUUAGCGGCGGACGGGUGAGUAACACGUGGAUAACCUACCUAUAAGACUGGGAUAACUUCGGGAAACCGGAGCUAAUACCGGAUAAUAUUAUGAACCGCAUGGUUCAAAAGUGAAAGACGGUCUUGCUGUCACUUAUAGAUGGAUCCGCGCUGCAUUGGCUAGUUGGUAAGGUAACGGCUUACCAAGGCAACGAUGCAUAGCCGACCUGAGAGGGUGAUCGGCCACACUGGAACUGAGACACGGUCCAGACUCCUACGGGAGGCAGCAGUAGGGAAUCGGCCGCAAUGGGCGAAAGCCUGACGGAGCAACGCCGCGUGAGUGAUGAAGGUCUUCGGAUCGUAAAACUCUGUUAUUAGGGAAGAACAUAUGUGUAAGUAACUGUGCACAUCUUGACGGUACCUAAUCAGAAAGCCACGGCUAACUACGUG
rnacentral:rRNA from 1 species